UCCAGGUCAUGCUGCCACUGCUGUGUCUAGCCAGCUCCCAGCCCGACUACACAAUGGCCUGGGCAGAGUACUACAGACAGCAGGCUGCUUAUUAUGGCCAGACAUUAGGACAAGCUCAGACUCACAGCCAGGUGGGUCUCGCUUCUCUGCCGUAUCUGCAUCCCCCUUACUGACAACUGUUCCUUGUUCAGUUCAGCCUUGAAAACAAUUAAACAGAAGCACCUAGCCCUGUGUACAGUGGUACCUCGGGUUAAGAACUUAAUUCAUUCUGGAGGUCUGUUCUUAACCUAAAACUGUUCUUAACCUGAGGUACCAUUUUAGCUAAUGGGGCUGCCGCGUUGCCGCCGCACGAUUUCUGUUCUCAUCCUGAAGCAAAGUUAUUAACCCGAGGUACUAUUUCUGGGUUAGCAGAGUCUGUAACCUGAAGCAUAUGUAACCUGAAGCGUAUGUAACCCGAGGUACCACUGUAUCUUAUUAUGUUGCUUGUGGCCACUCCCACCCUCCUAAAAAAAGAGAACCAAGUCAAAGUUUUUGCAACAUUUUCUACCUUGGUUGCUUGGAAGGGAUUCUGAAGUCACACCGGGCGACUGUAUUCCAAACUUAGUUUAACUUAAUUUAAACUUAAAACUUAAGUUUUUCUCCUCUCUCAUAACAUUAGGACUCAUGGACAAACAGUGCAGCUGAAUGUUGGAAUGUUGUCAGAUUCAAGGCAUAUAAAAGAAAAUGACUUAUUCACGCAGUGCAUAGUUUAACUAUGGGACUAGCUCCCACAGGAGGAAGUGAUGACCACUAAGCUGGAUGGUUUUAAAAUAGUAUUGGACAAGUUCAUGGAAGAGAGGGUUAUCAAUGGCUACUAGCCAUGAUGACUAUGCUCUGCCUCCACAGUUGCAGGCAGCAGUGCUUUCAAAUACCAGUUGCUGAAAACCACAGAGGGGCGAGUGCUCUUGUGUUGAAACCCUGUUUUCUGGUUUCCCACGGGCAUCCAGGUGGCCACUGUGAGAACAGGAGGCUGGACUAGAUGGGCCAUUGUUCUUAGGUUAUGAUUCCCAAACUUAGUUUAGCCUCUUCCGGAUCUGGUGAAAGCAAAGUCAAAACUGUAACAGUGUAACGUACAUUUCCAAGUAAUGAGCUGCAUACUGGCAAGCAGCAGAUUCUGCAUUUCUCAGAUUUAUGAGAGCUCAGGUUCAUUUGCGCUCACAUUUUCUGAAUUAAAAUUGGAGUCAAUGCUUUGCUCUUACUCUUUGCCUUUUAAGGUGGUGUGAGAUAGCAUGAAAUACUGAUAAUUACCAGCUCCUUACAUUUCUGUGGAGAAGCCAAUGGUGGUCUCUGCUAACAAAAGCGUAGGGGAUGAUUUUUGCCCAUUCUCCACCUCUUUGUGGCCCCUAGAGAGAGGGGCCAUAGCUCAGUGGUACAACAUCUGCUUUGCAUGCAGAAGGCCCCAUGUUUGAUCCCCGUUGGCAUCUCCAGGUAGGGCUGCAAAUGUCUCCUGCUGGGAGAGCUGCUGCCAGUCAGGGCAGACAGUACUGAACUAGAUGGAACCAAUAAUCUGAUUUAGUAAAAGGCUACCCCUUUUAAUGAGGAGGACACCACUCAGUGUUUAUAGCAUCUUUCUUGCAUGCAGAAUAUUCCAAGUUCAAUCCUCGGCAUUUCUAGAUAGAGUGAGAGAGACUCCUGCCUGUGUAACCCCUGGAGAGUUGCUGCUGGUUAGGGUAGACUAUAUUGAGCUAGAUGGGCCACCUUUCACUCUUUUAUGGAGGGUCCCCCAACUCCUUUUCCAUUAGUAGACACCUCUUCCGAGAUCCAAAAGCUGCCUGUGAUUGUAAGGCACAGAAGCCACAGCCUUGCUCCACUGUUAGCUAGCCCACUCCAUGCAAAUGGUGCUCAGGGAACAAUGCUUCUCAACAUGAGGGCUUUGCCUCUGAACACCAGUUGCUGGGAGCACACAGUUGGAGUAGGGGAAUUAGAGGCAUCUGUCAGGCCACUAUGGUAAACUGGGGUAGAGUGGAGAGAACCUGUGGCUUUCCAGAUGCUGCUGGACUACAACACCCACCAUCCCUGGACCAUUGGUCGGGAACCUGAUCUAAGAAGAGGCAUUCCCCCACCCCCGCCACCCUCUAUCUUGUGGGAAUGCCUCUUUAAUCUCUUGCAUGCAGCAGGUAAUGUUGCUUCUCAGAUCAGGGAAUGGUGACCCUGUAGCCUUCUAGUUGCUGCUAGACUACAGCUCCCAUCAUCCCUGACCACUGGCUAUGCUCGCUCGAGGCUGAUGGGAAUUGUAGUUCAACAUCACAGUUUAGCUACUUCUAAUCCAAAUUAGCCCCUUUGGUUUGAUCCAGCCACAAGUUAUUUUGUUUUAAUUAUUUCCUGAAAGUUCUCUUUCCUUCUUAACACAGAUUUUUCAUUUUGUCUUUUUCUACUCUUUGCAGGAACAGUAGAACUACAUCCUUGACUCGUCUUCAUUUCCCUCCCCAACCACUUUCUCUCUUCUUUCUCAUAAUCAUUGUGGAAAUUAACCUUUUUGUAACAGAGGGUUUCUAGAUUUGCAACAUUUUGAUGAAGAACUCUUGGGUUUUUUGUGUGUGAAACACUAGUUGUUAGGACAAUCUAUACUGAACUUUUUUCUAAGAAUCAGGAACAAUUAGUGAUGUACUAAACUUUAUGGACUUUGCUGGGUAAUCUUUUAUUUUUUGGUUGUUGUUUUUUUGGGGGGGGGGGCUUUUUUGAUUUUCCAAAUUUAUAAGGAAAAAGAGAGAGAGAGAGAGAGAAAGCAAGCAAGCAAAACUCUUGGAUCUGUAUUUUGGGGUGGGAGGAGAGAAGAAUAACUGUCAUCUAAUCUUACCCCAGAGCUGUGAGAUUUCAGCAAGUGGUUUUUCUUUCUUUCUUUUCUGUUGUAGCAGAAAAAGGCUUGGAAGUCUUAGGUGAUAUGUAACAAAUUUUAAAAAUAAAAAAAUGGAAAAUUAUAAAAAACAGUAUUUAAAAAUUCUUAAAUAUGUAAAUUUAUUAAAUAUUUUACUACUAAUUUCUUGUACCUUUGCUUUCUUUUUGAUUAUAUUGCAUUUUUUAAAAAAGAAAAAGAAAAACUGAACUAUAGUAUGUUAUUAUAAUUAAUUGUGUGAAUUCUUAUCAGGAUGGUUACUGUUUACUGUCAAGCUGGUUAUCAGCGGGCAAAUUUUUGUAGUGACGGCUGUAUAAUUUCUAGAAAUCUAAAGGGAUAAUAUAAAAAAUGAUGUGUUUAAUUUUUUAGCAAUUCUGGUUUGCUUUCCACAUUUUCCAUUUUCUGGUUGCAUCUGUGUAUCUAAGACCUCCAAGCUUUGUCUAAAAAAAUAAAAAAUAAAAACAAAAUACCUUUUGUCUAUUUCAGAAAUAAAUACUGUUAUUUUUAAUAUUAAAAUGAAACUGCUAUUAUUAGUACCUUUAACAAAAACUGUGGAACAUUAAGUCAUAUAAAAUAGUAGUAACUAUUUUUAAUUCCAGGGUUGGUGUGUGUUGCUUCUCCCUCCCCAUUUUUAUUUGUUUUUAAGUAUUUUGUUAUCUUAAUAGUUGUCAAAAAAAUUACCUAGAGAAAUAAAAUAAAAGUGACAUCUAGUAUUAACCCCAGGUAUGCCAAUAAAUAAUGUUUUGAUUUAAUAAAGGGGAUAAUAUGAUUUCCAGUGUUUACUUGUAGUACUUUCUUGUACAGAUAAGUGUAUUUUUAAAGGAGGGG